UACAGAGGGUGCAAGCGUUAAUCGGAAUUACUGGGCGUAAAGGGUGCGUAGGUGGUUAGAUAAGUUAGGUGUGAAAGUCCUGGGCUUAACCUGGGGAUUGCGCCUAAUACUGUUUAACUGGAGUACUGUAGAGGAAGGUGGAAUUUCCAGUGUAGCGGUGAAAUGCGUAGAUAUUGGAAGGAACAUCAGUGGCGAAGGCGACCUUCUGGACAGAUACUGACACUGAGGCACGAAAGCGUGGGGAGCAAACAGG
rnacentral:rRNA from 1 species